GGGCGGUUAGCUCAGCUGGCAGAGCGCCUCGCUUACACCGAGGAGGCCGGGGGUUCGACUCCCUCACCGCCCACCA
rnacentral:tRNA from 2 species